CCUACGGGUGGCAGCAGUGAGGAAUAUUGGUCAAUGGGCUUACGCCUGAACCAGCCAAGUCGCGUGAGGGAUGACUGCCCUAUGGGUUGUAAACCUCUUUUGUCAGGGAGCAACGCCGGCUACGUGUAGACGGACUGAGAGUACCUGAAGAAAAAGCAUGGGCUAACUCCGUGCCAGCAGCCGCGGUAAUACGGAGGAUGCGAGCGUUAUCCGGAUUGAUUGGGUUUAAAGGGUGCGUAGGCGGAAUGCCAAGUCAGCGGUAAAAUCGCGGGGCUCAACCUCGCUCCGCCGUUGAAACUGGCGUUCUUGAGUGGGCGAGAAGUAUGCGGAAUGCGUGGUGUAGCGGUGAAAUGCAUAGAUAUCACGCAGAACUCCGAUUGCGAAGGCAGCAUACCGGCGCCCAACUGACGCUGAAGCACGAAAGCGUGGGUAUCGAACAGGAUUAGAUACCCGUGUAGUC
rnacentral:rRNA from 1 species